CGGCGCUCUAGCUCAGCGGGAGAGUACUCGCUUCACACGCGAGGGGUCACAGGUUCAAUCCCCGUCGCGCCCACCA
rnacentral:tRNA from 1 species